rnacentral:tRNA from 1 species
GUUAUUAUAGUAAAAUUGAUUAUGUCACUUUGAUGAGGUGAAGUUCUCUUUUGAGUUUUA